AUUUGAAGGAAUGAAUAUCAACAUUUUAUUAUUUUUUGAAUAAAGUUCUGGCUAGGAUAAUGAUAAUGACAAUUUCCUAUCUAAAUGUCUUGACUAAGUCACGUGCCAGCAGUCGCGGUAAUACGUGAGAGACGAGCGUUAUUCAUCUUUAAUUGGUUUAAAGGGUACCUAGACGGNAAUUCUUGCCUUAUAAUGGGAACAGAAUUACUAGAGUUUUAUGUGAAAAGCUUAGAAUUGGUGGUGUAGAGAUAAUAUACAAAAAUACCAUUAGGACUGGUAAAGGCGAAGGCAAACUUUUAUGUAAAAACUGACG
rnacentral:rRNA from 1 species